AGGGAGGCAGCAGUGGGGAAUAUUGCACAAUGGGGGAAACCCUGAUGCAGCGACGCCGCGUGAGUGAAGAAGUAUUUCGGUAUGUAAAGCUCUAUCAGCAAGGAAGAAAAUGACGGUACUUGACUAAGAAGCCCCGGCUAACUACGUGCCAGCAGCCGCGGUAAUACGUAGGGGGCAAGCGUUAUCCGGAUUUACUGGGUGUAAAGGGAGCGUAGACGGCAUAGCAAGUCUGAAGUGAAAUGCGGGGGCUCAACCCCUGAACUGCUUUGGAAACUGUUAAGCUAGAGUGCAGGAGAGGUAAGUGGAAUUCCUAGUGUAGCGGUGAAAUGCGUAGAUAUUAGGAGGAACACCAGUGGCGAAGGCGGCUUACUGGACUGUAACUGACGUUGAGGCUCGAAAGCGUGGGGAGCAAACAGGAUUAGAUACCCUGGUA
rnacentral:rRNA from 1 species